GAUGAACGCUGGCGGCGUGCCUAAUACAUGCAAGUCGAGCGAACAGACGAGGAGCUUGCUCCUCUGACGUUAGCGGCGGACUGGUGAGUAACACGUGGAUAACCUACCUAUAAGACUGGGAUAACUUCGGGAAACCGGAGCUAAUACCGGAUAAUAUAUUGAACCGCAUGGUUCAAUAGUGAAAGACGGUUUUGCUGUCACUUAUAGAUGGAUCCGCGCCGCAUUAGCUAGUUGGUAAGGUAACGGCUUACCAAGGCAACGAUGCGUAGCCGACCUGAGAGGGUGAUCGGCCACACUGGAACUGAGACACGGUCCAGACUCCUACGGGAGGCAGCAGUAGGGAAUCUUCCGCAAAGGGCGAAAGCCUGACGGAGCAACGCCGCGUGAGUGAUGAAGGUCUUCGGAUCGUAAAACUCUGUUAUUAGGGAAGAACAAAUGUGUAAGUAACUAUGCACGUCUUGACGGUACCUAAUCAGAAAGCCACGGCUAACUACGUG
rnacentral:rRNA from 1 species